rnacentral:rRNA from 1 species
UACGAAGGGGGCUAGCGUUGUUCGGAAUUACUGGGCGUAAAGCGCACGUAGGCGGAUUGUUAAGUUAGGGGUGAAAUCCCAGGGCUCAACACUGGAACUGCCUUUAAUACUGGCAAUCUCGAGUCCGAGAGAGGUGAGUGGAAUUCCGAGUGUAGAGGUGAAAUUCGUAGAUAUUCGGAGGAACACCAGUGGCGAAGGCGGCUCACUGGCUCGGUACUGACGCUGAGGUGCGAAAGCGUGGGGAGCAAACAGG